GAGGGUAUAGCUCAGUGGUAGACUGCAUGCUUAGCAUGCACAAGGUCCUGGGAUCAAUCCCCAGUAUCUCCA
rnacentral:tRNA from 1 species